CAGUGCGUGCAGUUGGGAUGAGCUCGAGACGGUGGCUUUGGGUUUAGACUGCGCAGUACUGUGGAAGCUGAAGGGGAAUCAGCUGCAGCGAGUUACAAAGGUGUCUCCAGACUGAAAAUGGGACCCUUGUCCCACUGCAAGUGGUGCGCUGCUCAAAACACACCCUGGGGAAGUUCUCCCUUCAAACAGCCCUUCCAGUGACAUUUAUGGCCUCUAGAACAAUCAGAGGUGACACUGAUCUUGCCAGGAGUGGAUGAAUGCUGUUUGUCCCAAAAAGCAGAAUCAAGAGAGAAAAACCACCUUUCAUCCUCACAAUGCAGAAGCCUCCCCUAAAAAGCAAGCAAACAAACAAAAAAACAAAAUCCCAACAUCGAAAGCUGUGACUCUCCAACCUCUGCUGAUCUGGACGUUGCAUAAAGUUCAUGAAAUGUGUGAGCAGUCCUACUGAAAGCCCACGGAAGGGACCCUGGGAGGCAGCGCGCAGCAGAUAGAGCCAUCCGCCCAGAGCUUCGCAGCACUAUGGAAGAAAAAUCUCUAUAAAACGAAAUAGGCAAUCAACUGAAAUCUAUCCUCUUUAAAUAAACUGAUUCCUUAGUAUUUUCCCAGUGUUGCUGUAAGUUGUUGUCUGUGAUGUCCC